rnacentral:rRNA from 1 species
UACGUAGGCAGCGAGCGUUGUUCGGAGUUACUGGGCGUAAAGGGUGUGUAGGCGGUUGUUUUAAGUUUGGUGUGAAAUCUCCCGGCUCAACUUGGGAGGGUGCGCCGAAUACUGAGCGACUAGAGUGCGGGAGAGGAAAGUGGAAUUCCUGGUGUAGCGGUGAAAUGCGUAGAUAUCAGGAGGAACACCGGUGGUGUAGACGGCUUUCUGGACCGUAACUGACGCUGAGACACGAAAGCGUGGGUAGCAAACAGG